UACGGGGGGGGCAAGCGUUGUUCGGAAUUAUUGGGCGUAAAGCGCGUGUAGGCGGCUUUGCAAGUCGGGUGUGAAAGCCCUCAGCUCAACUGAGGAAGUGCGCCCGAAACUGCAGAGCUUGAGUACCGGAGAGGAUGGCGGAAUUCCCCAAGUAGAGGUGAAAUUCGUAGAUAUGGGGAGGAACACCGGUGGCGAAGGCGGCCAUCUGGACGGAUACUGACGCUGAGACGCGAAAGCGUGGGGAGCAAACAGG
rnacentral:rRNA from 1 species